rnacentral:rRNA from 1 species
AGUGAACGCUGGCGGUAGGCCUAACACAUGCGAGUCGAACGGCAGCACAGUAAGAGCUUGCUCUUACGGGUGGCGAGUGGCGGACGGGUGAGGAAUACAUCGGAAUCUACUUUUUCGUGGGGGAUAACGUAGGGAAACUUACGCUAAUACCGCAUACGACCUACGGGUGAAAGCAGGGGAUCUUCGGACCUUGCGCGAUUGAAUGAGCCGAUGUCGGAUUAGCUAGUUGGCGGGGUAAAGGCCCACCAAGGCGACGAUCCGUAGCUGGUCUGAGAGGAUGAUCCGCCACACUGGCACUGAGACACGGUCCAGACUCCUACGGGAGGCAGCAGUGGGGAAUAUUGGACAAUGGGCGCAAGCCUGAUCCAGCCAUACCGCGUGGGUGAAGAAGGCCUUCGGGUUGUAAAGCCCUUUUGUUGGGAAAGAAAAGCAGCAGGUUAAUACCCCGCUGUUCUGACGGUACCCAAAGAAUAAGCACCGGCUAACUUCGUG